rnacentral:lncRNA from 1 species
UUGGGAGGGGUUGCCUCUCCCUGUGUCCACACAUAUGCCUUGAGUUGCUCUUCAGUGAAUAUCACUUUUCCUUUCAUGUUUUUUCUACAUGCUAUUAUCUGUAUGAAAUGAAGACCAAGAAAGGAUGGGAAGAAGGAGAAGAAAAAUUUUGAUUUAUCUCAGAAACUAUACUCCGAAGUGAGAGUCCUGGUUGCAGGAUCAUCACAUUUUGGAGUUCUCAGUCCUGUGUACAAAGUCCAACUAUCUGAGGCCACCAUGCACUUAGGAUGUCCAGGCCACCUGGAGAGGCUACCAGAUAUGUGUAUGAAGAAGUUGUCUUGAAAGUGGAUCUUCCAGCCCAUGUUAUUCUAGCUACAGCUGUUUGAGUCUCCUUGUACAAGCCCCAGACAUCAUGGAAUGGAGAAGAGCUGAGCCACGGUGUCCUCUCCAAAUUCUCAAUCCACAAAACUCAUGAAAAUAAUAAAAUGAUUGUGUCUUUGUGCUACUAAAUUUAGGGAAAUUUGUUAUUCAGCAAAGAUGAUUAGAACAAGAGACCACAAUUUGACUAUCAUAUUUCAGAAAUGACACAGAUCCAGAGAGGUUAAAUAAAUCAUUUUAUUCAAAUGA